rnacentral:rRNA from 1 species
CCAGACUCCUACGGGAGGCAGCAGUGAGGAAUAUUGGUCAAUGGGCGAGAGCCUGAACCAGCCAAGUCGCGUGAAGGAUGACGGCCCUACGGGUUGUAAACCUCUUUUGUCGGGGAGCAAAGCGAACCACGUGUGGUUCAUUGAGAGUACCCGAAGAAAAAGCAUCGGCUAACUCCGUGCCAGCAGCCGCGGUAAUACGGAGGAUGCGAGCGUUAUCCGGAUUUAUUGGGUUUAAAGGGUGCGCAGGCGGAGGUGCAAGUCAGCGGUCAAAUUGCGGGGCUCAACCCCGUACUGCCGUUGAAACUGCAUCCCUUGAGUGCGCGAGAAGUAUGCGGAAUGCGUGGUGUAGCGGUGAAAUGCAUAGAUAUCACGCAGAACUUCGAUUGCGAAGGCAGCAUACCGGCGCGCAACUGACGCUCAUGCACGAAAGCGUGGGUAUCGAACAGGAUUAGAUACCCCCGUA